GAGGUCAUUAAUGAUGUUAAAUUUUUACAUAAAUUUUAUACUGCUACUGUUGUGUUUUCUGGUACAUAUUACCCCACUGUUACUAUGGCUUUAGUACAUAACUACAUAUAGCUGAAAUCUCUUUGCUACUACCUGAAUUUAAGAAGAAAGAAAAAUAUAAGGAUUUUGAAAAAAUGCAAGCAAAAUUCAAAAAAUAUUUCUUUCCAAUUCCUCCGAUUUACUUAAUU
rnacentral:lncRNA from 1 species